GCGGAUGUGGUGCAGUGGCAGCACGCCUGCUUCCCAAGCAGGAAACCGCGGGUUCGAACCCCGUCAUCCGCUCCA
rnacentral:tRNA from 3 species